rnacentral:lncRNA from 1 species
AGCACAGUGGUGGCCGAUGGGUGGAUGCUUCUGACUUGGAGUUCAUUGAAGAUAACAAGAUAAUUGUUUACUCAUCAAAGCAUGGUCAUGCUAGCUUCCCUCAUCCUGGUACUUAUCUUCAAGGGUCAACAAAGCUUGGAAUUGGAGUGAGAAAUGAUGUUGCUCGAAGCAAAUAUUAUAUAGAUUCAAGCACAAAGUAUCAGCUUAUUGCUGCAGAGUAUCUUGGAGAUGGAGUUGUCAAAGAACCAUGUUGGUUGCAGUACAUGAGAGAAUGGGGUCCAACCAUUGUAUAUGACUCACGGUCUGAAG